rnacentral:rRNA from 4 species
UGGGGAAUAUUGGACAAUGGGCGCAAGCCUGAUCCAGCCAUGCCGCGUGAGUGAUGAAGGCCUUAGGGUUGUAAAGCUCUUUCACCGAUGAAGAUAAUGACGGUAGUCGGAGAAGAAGCCCCGGCUAACUUCGUGCCAGCAGCCGCGGUAAUACGAAGGGGGCUAGCGUUGUUCGGAAUUACUGGGCGUAAAGCGCACGUAGGCGGAUAUUUAAGUCAGGGGUGAAAUCCCGCAGCUCAACUGCGGAACUGCCUUUGAUACUGGGUAUCUUGAGUAUGGAAGAGGUAAGUGGAAUUCCGAGUGUAGAGGUGAAAUUCGUAGAUAUUCGGAGGAACACCAGUGGCGAAGGCGGCUUACUGGUCCAUUACUGACGCUGAGGUGCGAAAGCGUGGGGAGCAAACAGG